CAUUGCCAAACUGUUGGGAGGCCUCCAGUAGGCUGAAGGUAGAAAGUGAGGAGGCACUAACGCCUGCUGAGAGCUGGAUUGGUCUGUGUUUCCCUUCCCAUAUGAUGUGCAUUUCAAGAGGCUCCAAAGAGGAGAAAUUGCAACACCGGGAAGGUUAUUAGAUUCCUGCAAGUUAUUUGGGAACUGAUCAAGAUUUCAAGCUAAAGAUGGAGAUAAUGAAUUGUCUGAGGGCCGUUCUUCAAGCCUCUCCAUGCAAGUCACCGUGGAGAAGAUUCCAGAUUCCGAGGUCCAUGCCAGUGAGGCCCUGCAGCCUCUACACCUGCACUUACAGAACCCGGAACCGAGCCUUGCACCCACUCUGGGAGAGCGUGGACCUGGUCCCGGCGGGCGAGCGCCAGUCGCCCAUCAACAUCCGGUGGAGGGACAGCGUGUAUGAUCCUGGCUUAAAACCGCUCACCAUCUCUUAUGACCCGGCCACCUGCCUCCACAUCUGGAAUAACGGGUACUCUUUCCUCGUGGAAUUUGAAGAUUCUACAGAUAAAUCAGCUGCAUGUGGUGCAUCAGAACGCAAUCAAAUUUGAAAGCUUUGAGGAUGCGGCAACUGGAGGAACAUGGUUAUUAUACGAAUAUUUUUGAAGAUGAAGAAAGUGAAGCUCAGCGGAGGUGAAGUGCUUUCUUGCCAGGUCACACCGCUAGCAACUGAAGAAGUGGACUGAAAAUCUGUGGACUGUACUCUGUGCAGGACCUCUGAGCUCUUGCAGGUUUAGCAGGUUCAGGCCUCCCACAAGCUCCCUGCUUUAGUCCCGUCUGGAGGCUGAGUGUUUUCAGGGUACCUAGGAUUUGUUUUAAUCAGGUAUAGCAACACACAGACAUGGAAAUGACUGUUGUGAAGGAAGGAUUUUAUUAUACUCACAGAUUCCUAAAAACAGGUGGCAUGAAACACCAUGCAGGGUCACAUGGGGAAGCACCAGGCAUGGUCAGGAGGCAGAUAGAGCGAGGGGAAGAUGUGAACAAGAGCCUUUAUUAUGGCUUCCAUGGAAGGAAUGGGUGAGGCAGCAUAAGCAAGCUUAGGAUUGCUUGGUUUGGAUAAUUUCAGCAGGCUCUGGGACACAGAGGCUGCCCCUCGUCUGGUGCCUGAUUCUGGGAUAAUUAGGGCAGAGGAAUAGUGGCCCAGAGGGUGAGAAUCUUAUAAAGGAGGAGUUGGGGUCUGGGGUCUGGAUUGGUUGGUUUGCGUAUUAAAGACGUCCUCCCAGUUUGUUCUGUAUAGGAAUUAGCUAGCUCGGGGAGGGGCACUUCCUCUAGGGUCAGCAAGGCCUCAGAUAUCAAAGCAUGAAAUACAGAAACCAGAAAAUGUGGCUAUUAUGCUGAAGCUCCAGAAAUGAGCCCUUGAGGACUCAGGGGCCUGAGCUAAAAGCUGUGCCUUCCCACACUCUGGCUGGCUCUGAGAGCUUCAGCCUCGAGAGCCCCUGUGGGCCAAGUGCCGGUAAGGCUCAGAGGGAGAGGCUGAUGGCACAGGGGACACCUUUCCCUCCAGACUGUGGGCUCCAGCUUGUCAGCAAACGGCCUACUCAUUUGUUUUGUAUCUACUUUCAUUCAGUGAUGUUUAUAACAUUCUAAAUUGUCAGCUUAAGUGCAGGUUCAGUACUGUGGAUUAUUUUUAGGUAGUCACCAGGUAUCUGAUUUUAAUUCACAUUCCAUUACAAUUCUAGAGUGAGAUGUCAAUUGUUUUUAAUAUUUUCUCAUUUAUUGUUCUUUAGCUACACAAACAUCAUAAAAAGCUACAGAAAUUGGUGGAUACUGUGCCAUCAAUUAAGCAUAAGGAUGCCCUUGUGGAAUCUGGGUCCUUUGAUCCUUCCUGCCUGAUGCCCACUUGCCCAGAUGGACCUACUCAGGGGCCCUGACUACCCCACCACUUGCCGAGUCCAUCACCUGGAUUAUUAAGAAGUAACCUGUAGAGGUUGAUCAUGAUCAGGUACAGUCUUUCUACAUUUCUAUGUAAGGAAAUUCUAGUCUGCCUCUUUAAAACAAGGUUGGGCUCAAACUUUGGCAUCAGUUUUUAACAUCUUGUAGCGCUUAUACGUUUUCAUUAAAGUGUGCUAACAUCUUGUCUCAGUUUGGACAUGAAUUUGGUGAUACUUCAAGUUAACCAGAGAGAGGAGUUAAAACUAGAAAAACAUAAGCUUUUUACUUUCAUUCUUGACAAUGACGUAUAUUUUACUGUAUACGCAUUAUGUAGGAUCUCUAUAAAAAUUAAGACUCUUUUAAAUGGAAAAAUGAAGCCUGGAAAUGGAUGUAUUCAGAACCCUUUAAUUUCCUUAAGGGAGUUUUACUAUGGAAUCUUGGGGUAAAGACAGAACCAAACAACGUCCAUACAGAAAUUUUAUUCUAAGUCAGGAGUUUUGACUUGGUAUUUGUUUUUCCUUUAGAAACUAAAGUUUAAGUGGUAGUUACUACAUCAACACACAAAAUCCUCUUUAAUUUAUAACCUAACCAAACUACAAUAACUGCUUUUACUUGUUUGUAUUGGAUUUUAAUUGAUUAAAAAAUUUUUCUCAAGAACAAAAGCUUCCAAAUUCUUUUUUAUGAAGUCAAGAUAACAGUGAAACCAAAACCCACCAAAGAUUGGAUACCCCCCACAAAAAAGUAAAUAAUAGGCCAAUAUCUCUCAAAAAUUUUUAGGAAAAAAAGAAAGCUAAAUAAAAUAUUAGAAACAGAAUCCAGCAGUACAUCAGAAAUAUAUACUUUGCCCAAGUAGGGUUUUUCUAGUAAUGCAAGGAUGGUUCAGUAUUAGGAAGGAUAUAGUUAUGAUUAAUAUACUUCAUCCUAUCAGCAAGUCUAAAGGGAAAACUCAUAUUUUCAUUUCUAUAGUGUAGGGGAGGAAGACAUUUCCUCUACCCUGUCUGGGUUCAUCUGGCCGGAGAACAAAUUAAAUUCACAUGAGACAGAA